rnacentral:rRNA from 1 species
GACGAACGCUGGCGGCGUGCCUAAUACAUGCAAGUAGAACGCUGAAGCGAGGAGCUUGCUCUUCUUGGAUGAGUUGCGAACGGGUGAGUAACGCGUAGGUAACCUGCCUGGUAGCGGGGGAUAACUAUUGGAAACGAUAGCUAAUACCGCAUAAAAUUGAUUAUUGCAUGAUAAUUAAUUGAAAGAUGCAGCUGCAUCACUACCAGAUGGACCUGCGUUGUAUUAGCUAGUUGGUGAGGUAACGGCUCACCAAGGCGACGAUACAUGGCCGACCUGAGAGGGUGAUCGGCCACACUGGGACUGAGACACGGCCCAGACUCCUACGGGAGGCAGCAGUAGGGAAUCUUCGGCAAUGGGGGGAACCCUGACCGAGCAACGCCGCGUGAGUGAAGAAGGUUUUCGGAUCGUAAAGCUCUGUUGUAAGAGAAGAACGGGUGUGAGAGUGGAAAGUUCACACUGUGACGGUAUCUUACCAGAAAGGGACGGCUAACUACGUG